rnacentral:rRNA from 1 species
AUGCCUUCAGUAACGGCGAGCGAAGCAGGCAUAGCUCAAAUUUGUAAUCUGGCGCCUUUGGCGUCCGAGUUGUAUUUUCUAGAAGCGAGUUCGGUGACAGCUCCUACCCAAGUCCGUUGGAACGCGGCGUCAUGGAGGGUGAGAAUCCCGUGAAUGGUAGGAUGUCUGCUGCUAUGUGAACCGCCUUCGAAGAGUCGAGUUGUUUGGGAAUGCAGCUCUAAAUGGGAGGUAAAUUUCUUCUAAAGCUAAAUAUUGGCCAGAGACCGAUAGCGAACAAGUAGAGUGAUCGAAAGAUGAAAAGAACUUUGAAAAGAGAGUUAAACAGUACGUGAAAUUGUUGAAAGGGAAGCGCUUGAGAUCAGACUUCCUGUCUGGACUGUCCUUGCUUUUGCUUGGGUCAACAGUCCAGGCGUGGAGGCCAGCAUCAGUUUUGACGGCCGGAUAAAGGCCUUGGGAAGGUAGCUCCUCUCGGGGAGUGUUAUAGCCCAGGGUGUAAUACGGCCAGUUGGGACUGAGGACCGCGGCUUUGCCUAGGAUGCUGGCGUAAUGGUCUUAAGCGACCCGUCUUGA